GGUGGGAGGAUGUUGAACUCCCACAACUGGUUUCAGCUCGACUCUCCCGAAUGCCGUGCCAGUAUUUCAGUAAGCCCUCAGUGGAGCUGGAGAAGAGUUUGGUAAAAGGCAAACAGAAUCAACCUGGAAUCCCUUUAAAAAAAAGUCAGCUUCCUCCUUCAGGGCAGAGAUACCACAACGUCAGAUUUUACUGACAGGUGCGUUUGCUUUGCUGUGUCUGUCUUGGCCAUGCAGAAUUUCAUCUCCAGUCUCUCCCUCUGACAGAUGAAGCUCGUCGGUGUGAAUGUGAAAGUUACUGAGUCUCUCCAGACUCACCUGAAAAGUGCUUUGGAGGUAAAUCACAGUAACGCACUGUUUCUGUCCGACCUUCACAGUCUGAUGUCAAAGUUUUGUGGAGUAAUUAAAUAGGGAUUGUGGAUUCUGCCCAACUGAUAACGGAGCAGUCAGAGUGGGUUUGGUGACUUCAGUGAGUGGCUGCUCCUGCUGGAACUGGUUCUACGGUUAUGGUUCCUCCCUCCAUAACACUGUCAGGUCUUGGCCUUGAGAUGAUUUGUGUUAUGAUUUGACACUUUAUCAAUAAAACUGAAUUGAAUAGAAAGUUAAAAAACCAACUGUU